GACGUAGGAGGUGAGCGUUGUUCGGAAUUAUUGGGCGUAAAGAGCUCGUAGGCGGCGUGUCACGUCGGUUGUGAAAGCCCGGGGCUUAACUCCGGGUCUGCAGUCGAUACGGGCAGGCUAGAGUUCGGUAGGGGAGAGUCGGAAUUCCUGGUGUAGCGGUGAAAUGACGCAGAUAUCAGGAGGAACACCGGUGGCGAAGGCGGAUCUCUGGGCCGAUACUGACGCUGAGGAGCGAAAGCGUGGGGAGCGAACAGG
rnacentral:rRNA from 1 species